AUUGAACGCUGGCGGCAGGCUUAACACAUGCAAGUCGAGCGGGGUGAUGGUGCUUGCACUAUCACUUAGCGGCGGACGGGUGAGUAAUGCUUAGGAAUCUGCCUAUUAGUGGGGGACAACAUCUCGAAAGGGAUGCUAAUACCGCAUACGUCCUACGGGAGAAAGCAGGGGAUCACUUGUGACCUUGCGCUAAUAGAUGAGCCUAAGUCGGAUUAGCUAGUUGGUGGGGUAAAGGCCUACCAAGGCGACGAUCUGUAGCGGGUCUGAGAGGAUGAUCGGCCACACUGGGACUGAGACACGGCCCAGACUCCUACGGGAGGCAGCAGUGGGGAAUAUUGGACAAUGGGAGGAACCCUGAUCCAGCCAUGCCGCGUGUGUGAAGAAGGCCUUAUGGUUGUAAAGCACUUUAAGCGAGGAGGAGGCUCUUUUGGUUAAUACCCAAGAUGAGUGGACGUUACUCGCAGAAUAAGCACCGGCUAACUCUGUGCCAGCCGCCGCUGUAA
rnacentral:rRNA from 1 species